CUAACUAACUAUAUGCUUGGUCGUUACAAAGUUCAAACGGCAAGAUGCGCAUGUCGUUGAGUCGAGAGACAAAUAUUUUCAGAACGAUGACAUGGCAAUACCAAGGACACCGACCUGAAGUUCCUGGACCGGAAGUGGGAAAUUAACAGAGAAACGGCAGCACCUGAAUACUGAGAUGGCAAUACCAGAGACAACCGUCACAACACAUGCCUUUUAUUUUGCCUCUUGCCGGUUGCCGGGCAAAAAUACCCUGAAACUCCU
rnacentral:lncRNA from 1 species